rnacentral:rRNA from 1 species
UGCUAAUACCGUAUACGCCUACGGGGAAAGAUUUAUCGGUUAGAUGAGCCCGCGUAAGAUUAGCUAGUUGGUGGGGUAAUGGCCUACCAAGGCGACGAUCUUUAGCUGGUCUGAGAGGAUGAUCAGCCACACUGGGACUGAGACACGGCCCAGACUCCUACGGGAGGCAGCAGUGGGGAAUAUUGGACAAUGGGCGCAAGCCUGAUCCAGCCAUGCCGCGUGAGUGAUGAAGGCCUUAGGGUUGUAAAGCUCUUUCAGUGGGAAGAUAAUGACGGUACCACAGAAGAAGCCCCGGCUAACUUCGUGCCAGCAGCCGCGGUGAU